rnacentral:rRNA from 1 species
UUCUGAUACAUCUGCCCGGGGAUUACGAACGUUAGUUUAAAACCCAAAGGACUUGGCGGUGCUUACACCACCUAGGAGGAGCCUGUUAUAUAACCGAUGACCCCCGUUAAACCUCACCCUCUCUUGCCAUUUCAGCUUAUAUACCGCCGUCGCAAGCUCACCCUGUAAAGGACAAACAGUGGGCAAAAUCGGCACCGCCCAAAAA